UACGUAGGUGGCAAGCGUUGUCCGGAAUUAUUGGGCGUAAAGCGCGCGCAGGCGGUCCUUUAAGUCUGAUGUGAAAGCCCACGGCUCAACCGUGGAGGGUCAUUGGAAACUGGGGGACUUGAGUGCAGGAGAGAAGAGUGGAAUUCCACGUGUAGCGGCGAAAUGCGUAGAUAUCGAGAGGAAUACCGGUGGCGAAGGCGGCAUCCUGGACCGACAUUGACGCUGAGGAGCGAAAGCUAGGGGAGCAAACGGG
rnacentral:rRNA from 1 species